rnacentral:rRNA from 1 species
CCUACGGGAGGCAGCAGUGAGGAAUAUUGGUCAAUGGACGAGAGUCUGAACCAGCCAAGUAGCGUGAAGGAUGACUGCCCUAUGGGUUGUAAACUUCUUUUAUAAAGGAAUAAAACGACGCACGUGUGCCUUUUUGCAUGUACUUUAUGAAUAAGGAUCGGCUAACACCGUGCCAGCAGCCGCGGUAAUACGGAGGAUCCGAGCGUUAUCCGGUUUUAUUGGGUUUAAAGGGAGCGUAGGUGGGUAGUUAAGUCAGUUGGAAAAUUGUGGGGCUCAACCGUAAAGUGCCAUUGAUAAUUGGAGUCUUGAGUACGGUGGAGGUAGGCGGAAUUCGUGGUGUAGCGGUGAAAUGCUUAGAUAUCACGAAGAACCCCGAUUGCGAAGGCAGCUUACCAAACCGUGACUGACAUUGAUGCUCGAAAGUGUGGGUAUCAAACAGGAUUAGAUACCCGAGUAGUC